CGCCGCCGCCGUCUCCAAGAACACGGGCAGGGAACUGAAAAACCAAUCCGCCGCCGCCGUCGCCCCCUCAUCCCCGCCUCGUCUCCAGGAGCACUCACGCACGGGUUCGUGUACGAUUCAGAGCGGAGCAGGGGAUCAAUGGAUGUAAGGUUCAACUUCCAAUCCAUCCAGGCCGCCGGCCGGUCCACCUAGGAGAGAGUCCAAGUUGUCCAUGCGAAACCCUAGACGCCGCGGGGAUGGAGCAUCUCCGCCGCCUCGCCCAGUUCUUGCUCGCCUCAGCUCGCGGGGAUGGAGCAGGACGGCGUCGUCCGUCCCCUCGCACCAGGCCCAGGACGACGGCGCCGUGGACGGCUGGGCGCACGACGGCACGGAGCCCCCCUCCCUUACGGCGCCCCGAGGCCGCAGAUCCUCCUCCCCUCCGCGGCCACGUCUCCGCAGCCGCUCGUGCGCGACCCUCAACUACGACUCGGUGGGAGGAGCCCUGCGACGACAUGCUCCCGCGACCACAACCACUGCGUCCGCAAGAAAGCCGCAUGGAUCAAAAGGGGCAAUCUUUGAACAUUUGUAUCAACUAUCGAGGAUCUCAAGUUCACAUGGAGUACACUAUGAUCAAGUGCAUUCUGGUGCUAUGAUGAUUGUGACAGAAGAUAUUAGCUGCAGAAGCAAUCUCUAUGUCUCAGCUCCAAUAUUAAAAAUCAGUGCACCUGAAUUACGACACAAUUUUUCUCAUCUGGAACUGUGCUUAUAAGGUGUUUGGUCUGAAAGCUACACUCCUGAAUACAAUAUGGUAUAAAAGGUUCAUGAAAACAUCAGGAUUUUGACCACCAUAGGAAAUCUGCAAGGGGAACAACAACAAAGGAAACUGGUGUAAGAUUGAGUACUAAGACUUGAAGAUGAGCUACAAUCAAGAUUAUGUCUCGACAAUCAAGUAUAAUGGCGCUAAGUUUGACUUAACCUGCAAAAAGUUAAAUCAGAUUGUAGCACGAACAUAGAGGAAUUUUUUUACCGAACUCACAGAAGUAGAUUGUGUAUCCCAUCCAGCAUUCAACCUAAUGGACAUCCAGGGAACCACUUUGAGUAGGCAAUUGUUUGUGUGGAGGAAAAUGCAUGGUACUACAGCUAACCUUCCUCUGGUCCAGAUGAAAUCAAGGCAACUGGGUCUUCUAUCUUCAAACAUCAAUUUGUUAGUUUUUCCUGGCUUCAGUGCACCCCCUCGUAUUAUUGUGUUUAAACUACAUUGCAGUGUGCUAAUUAUUUCUAAAAAAUUUAUAGUGUAUUAAUUAAGUAAAACUAAUUUGAAGUAGAUGUAGCAUGGCCUUUAGGAUUUUGCACACGGACCACACCAAUUUCGAGUAGUCAUACUUCUACAUAUCUGCUCACCAAAUAGCUGCAUGAUUAUUAUGAGCGUGGUAAACUUUGAAGCUAUUUUCUUUAUUAGUCCUAAAAGAAACUGAACUAUUUGUGUGGGGCCAGAGAAGUAUACUUUCAAUACAAACUUCAAUUGCUUGGGCAAGAGAAAUCAACUCAAUACUGCAAUUUUCCAUAUGUAGUAAGAGGAGGCGUACUAUUGUAAACCGAUGUAGGCUGAAGGCUAGUUGCAUCUUUGGCGUGUGGUCAAACCCGGCAAGCUACAACUAUGUGGAGCAUCCACACUACUGCCACCACAUGCUUGCUAAAACACUUAAUUUGUCCAUCCCUGUACAUUGGCCACAUAUUCGGCGAGCAUGUUUGGUGGCAGGCUCGAGCAACUGCUGUUGUAUUGAGUAUCCAGAUGAUAACUGUCAUGAAAAUCACUACAUGGAUCGAUGUGCCCAUCAUGUCUGGUAGUAGAUAAUGCAUUAUUUGAGCUUGAUAGAGUAUGAUUAUAUCCCACGCGGUCUUGUUUGCAUCGAAAGUGUGGCCCACUUUGGAGAAGAAUACACCCAACCAUUUUGGUAGUGGGCAUCUCAACAGUUAUAUUUGGGCCUCAUUCCCUAAUACACUAGUAAUUGUCUCCUUUCUGGUAUUUCUCUUAGUUUCACUACCAUACUCUUAAUGAUCUGAGAGAGGGAAUGCUAGCAACCAUGGUGGCAAUGCCCCCCCUGCGGCCGUUCAUGCAACUUGAGAGGAUGAAGCCUCUAGUGAUGUUGCGCGAAAGGCAUUGACACCAGUGAGUUUGCCACCAUCCUAGCCGCGCCGACAAUGCGGCAGAGCAAGACGGUCGAGGGAGAUGGCUCAUCAGAAGAAUCCACAACACGCGGACUCACUGGGGAAGCCUCAGGGGACGAGCCAUGUGAGGUAGUCUCAGGUAAUGAACGAGGUGGGAAAGCCACAAGUGAUGAUGAGCUUGAUAAAGAAGCCAUCAGAGGUAGAAGAAACCUCAAUCCCUAGGAAGUAGCGAAGAGGACCAAGAUCAGACAUAAGAAACCCACUAUGAUGAGCCUUCACAAAGGCAAUGUACUUGGAGUCAUCACAGUGAUGAUCGACAUAAAGAAGAGUUUGAGCAUGAGUUGAAAGGUGGACAAGAAGUAUAGGAUCAUGAGCACUCGCCAAAAACUAGUCGCAAUCACCACUGAGAUAAAAUGCUCAAACUAGGCACGAGGGGUUUCCUUAAGGCCAUAAAAGAGCGAUGAAGUCGAGAAACCAUGCCAUCAGGAAGAGAAUACCCCGGUGGUGGCUAUAUGUAGACCUCAUGCAACAGGGAGGAAGAGAAAUGAUAUCCCACAUGCCUAUGCGUGCAAGAGCAACAAUCUCCUCUACAACUGCAUACCGCUAUUCAUGAUGAACAAAUGCGUCAUAAUAAGAAGUCGUCUCGAGAACAGCGGUGGCAGAAUAACCAAUAACCAUAGCGGUCAAUAGGCAGAAGCGAGCGAGCUCGGAAGCCAUAAGUAGGCUGAGCUUUAAGCGGUGCAUUGCCAACAGGAAAGGCCAUAGUAGUCGAGGGAGAUGGCUCAUUAGAAGGAUCCACAACACGUGGACCACAAGUGUAGUGAAGAAGAUGACAAGGGGGAAUCAUCGGGGAAACCUCAUGGAUGAGCGAGGUGGGGAAGCCGCAUGUGGCGACGUGUGGGGUCUAUAACAGUAGUACAGGAGGAUAAGCUGGGAUAGGUGGGCGAGGGCAAUAAAUGAGUGAUAAGUGUAUCAAGAAAAUUGAGGGAAGAAAUAUCCUUAAUGGGGGAGGCCGAAGGAGAGGAUGGACGUGGAUAGAAAGGACGAGACUCAAUCGAAAGUUACAUCUCAAGAUAUGCGCAUCCGACGACUAACAAGAUCCCAACACCGAUGGCCCUUGUGCUCAUCACUGUAACCUAAGAAGACACAUUCAACAGAUUAAUCAAACAGUUUGGUGCGUGAAGAACGUAGCAAACACAACCGAACAAAUGAAGUGUGUUGAGUAGUUAGGAGAAUGCUCAGAAAGACGCUCGAGAGGAAUGUCACCCUGUAGAGUUGAGGAAGGAUGAAUGUUGAUGAGAUAGGUGGCUACGAUCAUCAACGCGCUAGCCGCCUCACGAAGGUGACGAUGCUUGUGCCCAACAACCCCAUUCAAAGAAUGAGCACCAGGACAAGAGAACUGAGCAAGUGCUUUGCUCAACAAGGAAUCCGCGCAACAAAUGGGAGAGAUACACACAAGCACAAUCUGCACGGAAGACACGAAUAGUAGUGGAAAACUGGGUAUGAACCAAGGCGGCAAACUUCUUAUAGAUAGAUAAGACCUCAAUACAAGAAGGCAUAAAAUAUACCGACUUGUGUUGAGAGAAAUAAUUGUAAAGAUGAUAUGGUGGCGAUGGCCUCCUUUCGAGGCAAAGGGAGCUGGGACCCAAACAUCAGAGUGAACAGGAUUGAAAGGACGCUGAGACACAGUCUUGCUAUGAGGAUAUGGUAACUGAACGUGUUUACCCAGCCGACAAACUUGACUGUCUAAAGUUACAUUGCGAGAGACAGAUCCUAGAAGACCACAUCGUUCUAAGGAUGAGAGACGAGAGCCACACAUCUGACUAAGACGAUGAUGCCACAAAGAGUCGGUAGACAAGGUAAGAGAGUCAAAGAAACUGGUGAAUGUGGUAGCGGAGGGAAGGCGAAGCCUGGCAAGCUUUAGAGGCCGUGGGAGUCACAGCGUCGAGGGCCAACACAAAGUAGAGCACUCGUGUGCCGGUCCUAAAUCAGAAAAAGAGUCAAAGUCAAGAAGAUUGGAGUAAUAGAAAUAUUGUUUGUGUUAGGUUAAAUGAUAUAUCGGCUUGGAUUCUAGGUCGGAGUUAAACUUGAGAAUCGGCACUUGGAUUUGUGAUAUUUUGACAUGAGCUUGAAACUGGAGAACUUUAGGGAGCAACAUUAUCAACCUGAGAUGUAUUGGAUUUAUAUAGGUAUAGUAUGAUUAGCAUGAAUGCGGUAUUGGUGGACUAUUGGAUGGUCUUCUAUAUUACUAGUUGGAUUCUAGGUUGGAGAUAACUUAGAGCACUUGGAUUUGUGAUAUUUUAACCUAAGCUUAGUAGCUUGUAUGUGCCCCAUAUGGAUAUGAGCAUGGAGAUGAUACAAACAGAUCGUAGUUGGUAGACUUUGAUGAUUUUGCUAGCCCUCCCAAGAUUGUUACGAGUACAAGAUCAUGGGAGGAUGAUUUGGAUUAAUUAGAAUAGAUGACAAUUUUAGUGGUAUGAGCCUUGUUGGAGCAGCUGAUCUUGCUUUUAUUAUGUGUUUGUGCUCUGUUAGAUGCAAUAGUAGGAGAAGGGUAGUACUUAUGAAGUGAUAUUAUAUUGAUGGUGGAUCUUUCAUAACCUUGGUACGGUUUGGAUUUAUUUAGAUGAUUAUGAUCUUGGAAAAAAAAUCUCCUGGAUAAGUACUUCUAAUUUUGGAAUCUAUAGCAAUCCAGUGAAAGCUUGCGUUAUACUGGACUUAGAUAACCAUGAUAGUGAGCUUGGUUGUAUCAUAGUUAUGAUUUGUAUUAGAUGCACACCUUUAGAGAUUGAAAAAACUGGAGAACUUUAGGGUCUAGUAUGAUCAAUCGAAGAUAUACAACAACAAAGCCUUUAGUCCCAAACAAGUUAGGGUAGGCUAGAGGUGAAACCCAUAAGAUCUCGCGACCAACUCAUGGCUCUGGCACAGGGAUAGCAAGCUUCCACUUACCCCUGUCCAUAGUUAAUUGGAGAUAUAUUGGAUUUAAAUGUGUAAUAUGAUCAGCAUGAUUGUGAAAAUUGAUGGACUAUUACAUCAUCUUGGACUGAAUUAGUAGGAAGAAAACAAAGAUAUUGGGGUAAUAGAAAUGUUGCUUGUGUUAGGUUCAAUGAUACAUCUGCUUGGAUUCUAGGUCGGAGUUAAACUUGAGAUUGGGCACUUGGAAUUGUGAUAUUUUCACAAUAGCUUGAAACUGGAGACUUUAGCAUGAUCAACCUGAGAUAUAUUGAAUUUAUAUAGGUACAGUAUGAUUAGCAUGAAUGCGGUAUUGGUGGACUAUUGGAUCAUCUUGGAUAUUACUAGUUGGAUUCUAGGUUAAAGAUAACUUGAGCACUUUGAUUUGUGAAAUUUUGACCUAAGCUUAGUAGCUUGUAUGUGCCCCAUAUGGAUAUGAGCAUGGAGAUGAUACAAAUGGAUCGUAGUUGGUAGACUUUGAUGAUUUUGCUAGCCCUCCCCAAGAAUGUUACCAGUACAAGAUCAUCAUGGGAGGAUGAUUUGGAUUAAUUAGAAUAGAUGACAAUUUCAGUGGUAUGAGCUUUUAUUAUGUGUUUGUGCUCCUUUAGAUGCAGUAGGAGGAGGAGGGUAGGACUUAUGAAGUGAUAUUAUAUUGAUGGAUAAAUAGAUCUUUAAUAACCAUUGGAACAGUUUGGAUUUACUUAGAUGGUUGUGAUCUUGAAAAAAAAUCUGGUGGAUGAAUAACUUCUACUUUUUGGAUCUAUAGUCAUCCAGUGGAAGCUUUCUUUACACUGGACUUAGAUAACCAUGAUAGUGGGCAUUGUUGGAUCAUAGUUAUGAUUUGUACUAGAUGCACACCUUUACAGAUUGAAACUAGAGAACUUCAAGGUGUAGUAUGAUCAAUCGGAGAUAUAUUGGAUUAGAGAUAUAUUGGAUUAUAUGAAUAUAAUAUGAUCAGCAUGAUUGUGAAAAUUGAUGGAAGAAAACAAAGAUAUUGGAGUAAUAGAAAUGUUGUUUGUGUUAGGUUCAAUGAUAUAUCUGCUUGGAUUCUAGGUCGGAGUUAAACUUGAGGUUGGGCACUUGGAUUUGUGAUAUUUUGACAUGAGCUUGAAUCUGGAGAACUUUAGGGUGUAACAUGAUCAACCUUAGAUGUAUUGGAUUUAUAUAGGUAAAGUAUGAUUAGCAUGAAUGCGGUAUUGGUGGACUAUUGGAUGAUCUUGGAUAUUACUAGUUGGAUUUUAGGUUCGAGAUAACAUGAGCACCUAGAUUUGUGAUAUUUUGACCUAAGCUUUAGUAGCUUGUAUGUGCCCCAUAUGGAUAUGAGCAUGGAGAUGAUACAAACGGAUUGUAGUUGGUAUACUUUGAUGAUUUCGCUAGCCCUCCCUAAGAAUGUUACGAGUACCAGAUCAUCAUGGGAGCAUGGUUUGGAUUAAUUAGAAAUAUGAUAAUUUCAGUGGUAUGAGCCUUGUUGGAGCAGAUGAUCUUGCUUUUAUUAUGUGUCUGUGCUCCUUUACAUGUAGUAGUAGGAGGAUAGUAAUUAUGACAUGAUAUUAUAUUGGUGGAUAAAUACUUCUUUAAUAACCUUGGAACUGUUUGGAUUUACUUAGAUGAUUAUGAUCUUGAAAACAAAUCUGGUUGAUAAAUAACUUCUAAGUUUUGGAUCUAUAUUAAUCCAGUGGAGGCUGAGGUAGUUGCAGAGGAGCGAUGAGAAAGCACAUGAGAAGCUUUACUCGAUCGCUUGAAGAUCGACAUUGCCGUAAUGGCUUGGGGCAAAGCCCGAUGCGGCUGACAGGGUUUUCACCCUCUCCCACACCUCUCGUGCAUUCUUCAUUUCCCGCCAAUUCGGCUUGGUGUCCUUCCCUUGUUUGCGGGUUCCGGGCCACUGACUUGAUCUGGCAUCACACGUUCUCCCACCGUGCGUCCUUGGCCUUGGCGGUAGGUAACGUCGUGCUCUCGGGCUGUGUCUCGUGGGUUAGCCAUUGCGGUGCCGACUGCCUGUGUGGCUAUGGCGGCGCCAGCCGGGAAACACGAGAUGUCAAAUUGAGGCAUCGCACAUAGCACCCCGAAGCUAGGCAAAGGAUGCCGGUCGGACUGGCAGUGAGCGGAUUGCACAUGAGGUAUGGUGGAAGGGAUGAAAACGGUUGUUUGGAGUGGACUGUCAUUGCCGUCAUUCAUUGUACUUGGAGCCAUGCGUCGAGGGGAUGGCGAUUGGGGAAGGUUGGCAGAUGGUUAGAUCAUAGUUACGAUUACUACUAGAUUCACACCUUUAGAGAUUGAAACCGGAGAACUUUAGGGUGUAGUAUGAUCAUGAUUGUGAAAAUUGAUCGACUAUUACAUCAUGUUGGAAUGAAAUAGUAGGAAGAGAACUUUAUGGAAAUGUUGUAUGUGUUUGGUUCAAUGAUAUAUUUGCUUGGAUUCUAGGUUGGAGUUAAACUUGAGAUUGGGCACUUGGAUUAGUGUUAUUUUGACAUGAGCUUUAAACUGGAGAACUUUAGGGUGUAGCAUGAUCAACCUGAGAUAUAUUGAAUUUAUAUAGGUAUAGUAUGAUUAGCAUGAAUGCGGUAUUGGUGGACUAUUGGAUCAUCUUGGAUAUUACUAAUUGGAUUCUAGGUUAGAGAUAACUUGAGCACUUGGAUUUUUGAUAUUUUGACCUAAGCAUAGUAGCUUCUAUGUGCCCUAUAUGGAUAUGUGCAUGGAGAUGAUACAAAUGGAUCGUAGUUGGUAGACUUUAAUGAUUUUGCUAGCCCUCCCCAAGAAUGUUACGAGUACAAGAUCAUGGGAGGAUGAUUUGGAUUAAUUAGAAUAGAUGACAAUUUGAGGGUGUAGUAUGAUCAAUCGGAGAUAUAUUGGAUUUGUAUGAGUAUAAUAUGAUCAACAAGAUUGUGAAAAUUGAUGGACUAUUACAUCAUCUUGGAUUGAAAUGGUAGAAAGAAAACAAAGAUAUUGGAGUAAUAGAAAUGCUGUUCAAUGAUAUGCUUGGGUUCUAGGUCGGAGUUAAACUUGAGAUUCGACACUUGGAUUUGUGAUAUUUUCACAUGAGCUUGAAACUGGAGAACGUUAUGAUGUAGCCUGGUCAACCUGAGAUAUUUUGGAUGUAUAUAGAUGUAGUAUGAUUAGCAUGAAUGUGGUAUCGGUGGACUAUUGUAACAUCUUCGAUAUUACUAGUUGGAUUCUAGGUUGGAGAUAACUUGAGCACUUGGAUUUGUGAUAUUUUGACCUAAGCUUAGUAGCUUGUAUGUGCCCCAUAUGGAUAUGAGCAUGGAGAUGAUACAAACGGAUUGUAGUUGGUAUACUUUGAUGAUUUUGCUAGCCCUCCCCAAGAAUGUUACGAGUACAAGAUUAUCAUGGGAGGAUGGUUUGGAUUAAUUAGAAUAGAUGACAAUUUCAGUGGUAUGAGCCUUGUUGGAGCAGUUGAUCUUGCUUUUAUUAUGUGUUUGUGCUCCUUUAGAUGUAGUAGUAGUAGGAGGAUAGUAGUUAUGACGUGAUAUUAUAUUGGUGGAUAAAUACUUCUUUAAUAACCUUGGAACUGUUUGUAUUUACUUAGAUGAUUGUGAUCUUGAAAACAAAUCUGGUGGAUAAAUAACUUCUAAGUUUUGGAUCUAUAGUAAUCCAGUGGAGGCUGAGGUAGUUGCAAAGGAGCGAUGAGAAAGCACAUGAGAAGCUUUUACUCGAUCGCCUGAAGAUCGACAUUGCCGCAAUGGUUUCAUGCAUAGCCCGAUGCGGCUGACAGGGUUUUCACCCUCUCCCACACCUCUCGUGCAUUCUUCAUUUCCCGCCAAUUCAGCUUGGUGUCCUUCCCUUGUUUGCGGGUUUCGGGCCACUGACUUGAUCCGGCAUCACACGUUCUCCCACCGUGCGUCCUUGGCCUUGGUGGUAGGUAAUGUCGUGCUCUCGGGCUGUGUCUCGUGGGUUAGCCAUUGCGGUGCCGACUGCCUGUGUGGCUAUGGCGGCGUCAGCCGGGAAACACGAGAUGUCGGAUUGAGGCAUCGCACAUAGGACCCCGAAGCUAGGCAAAGGAUGCCGGUCGGACUGGCAGUGAGCGGAUUGCACAUGAGGUAUGACGGAGGGGAUGAAAACGGUUGUUUGGAGUGGACUGUCAUUGCCGUCAUUCAUUGUACUUGGAGCCAAGUGUCGAGGGGAUGGCGAUUAGGGAAGGUGGGCAGAUGGUUGGAUCACAGUUAUGAUUACUACUCGAUUCACACCUUUAGAGAUUGAAACUGAAGAACUCUAGGGUGUAGUAUGAUCAAUCGAAGAUAUAUUGGAUUUAUAUGAGUGUAAUAUGAUUAGCAUGAUUGUGAAAAUUGAUCGAUUAUUACAUCAUCUUGGAAUGAAAUAGUAGGAAGAAAACAAAGAUAUUGGAGUUAUAGAAAUGUUUUAUGUGUUUGGUUCAAUGAUAUAUCUGCUUGGAUUCUAGGUCGGAGUUAAACUUGAGAUUGGGCACUUGGAUUUGUUUUCACAUGAGCUUGAAACUCGAGAACUUUAGGGUGUAGGAUGAUCAACCUGAGAUAUAUUGGAUUUAUGUAGGCAUAGUAUGAUUAGCAUGAAUGUGGUAUUGGUGGACUAUUGGAUCAUCUUGGAUAUUACUAGUUGGAUUCUAGGUUGGUAAUAACUUGAGCACUUGGAUAUGUGAUAUUUUGACUUAAGCUUAGUAGCUUGUAUGUGCCCCAUGUGGACAUGAGCAUGAAGAUGAUACAAAACAGUUUGUAGUUGGUAGACUGAUGAUUUUGCUAGCCCUCCCCCAGAAAUGAGUACAAGAUCAUGGGAGGAUGAUGUGGAUUAAUUAGAUGACAAUUUCGGUGGUAUGAGCAUUGUUGGAGCAGCUGAUCUUGCUUUUAUUAUGUGUUUGUUCUCCUUUAGAUGCAGUAGGAGGAGGAGGGUAUCACUUAUGAAGUGAUAAUAUAUUGGUGAAUAAAUAGAUUUUUAAUAACCUUGGAACAAUGUGGAUUUACUUAUGUGAUUGUGAUCUUGAAAAAAAUGGUGGAUAAAUAACUCUUAAUUUUUGGAUCUAUUGUAAUCUAGUGGAAGCUUGCUUUAUACUGGACUUAGAUAACGAUGAUAGUGGGCUUUGUUGGAUCAUAGUUAUGAUUUGUACUGCACCUUUAGAGAUUGAAACUAGAGAACUUCAGGGUGUAGUAUAAUGAAUCGAAGAUAUAUUGGAUUUAUACGAGUGUAAUAUGAUCAACAUGAUUGUGAAUAUCGAUGGACUAUUACAUCAUCUUGGAUUCUAGGUCGGAGUUAAACUUGAGAUUGGACACUUGGAUUUGUGAUAUUUUGAUAUGAGCUUGGAACUGGAGUACUUUAGGGUGUAGCAUGAUCAACCUGAGACGUAUUGGAUUUAUGAUUAGGAAGAACUUGGUAUUUGUGGACUAUUAGAUGAUCUUGGAAAUUACUAGUUGGAUUCUAGGUUGGAGAUAACUUGAGCACUUGGAUAUGUGAUAUUUUUACCUAAGCUUAGUAGCUUGUAUGUGCCCCAUGUGGAGAUGAUAGAAAUGGAUCGUAGUUGGUAGACUUUGAUGAUUUUGCUAGCCCUCCCUAAGAAUGUUACGAGUACAAGAUCAUCAUGGGAGGAUAAUUUGAAUUAAUUUGAAUAGAUGACAUUUUCAGUGGUACGAGCCUUGUUGGAGCAGCUGAUUUUGCCUUUAUUAUGUGUUUGUGCUCCUUUAGAUGCAGUAGUAGGAGGAUGGUAGUACUUAUGAAUAUUGGUGGAUAAAUAGAUCUUUAAUAACCUUGGAACAAUUUGGAUUUACUUUGGUGAUUGUGAUCUUGAAAAAAUCUGAUGGAUAAAUAACUUCUAAUAUUUGGAUCUAUACUCAUCCAGUGGAAGCUUGCUUUAUACUGAACUUAGAUAACCAUGAUAGUGGGCUUGGUUGGAUCAUAGUUAUGAUUUAUACUAGAUUCACUCCUUUAGAGAUUGAAACUGGAGAACUGUAGUGUGUAUUAUGAUCAAUCGAAGUUAUAUUGGAUUUAAUUAGUAGGAAGAAAACAAUAGAUCCAAAAAUUAGAAGUUAUUUAUCCACCAUUUUGGAAAUCCUACAAAGAACUGUAGUGUGUAUUAUGUGUUAGGUUAGGUUCAAUCACAGUUCUUUGUGAAAAUCGAUGGACUAUUAUUACAUCAUCUUGGAUUUAAUUAGUAGGAAGAAAACAAAGAUAUUGGAAUAAUAGAAAUGUUUUUUGUGUUAGGUUCAAUGAUAUAUCUACUUGAAUUCUAGGUCGGAGUUAAACUUGAGAUUUGGCACUUGGAUUUGUGAUAUUUUGACAUGAGCUUGAAACCAGAGAACUUUAGGGUGUAGCAUGAUCAUCCUGAAUUAGCAUGAAUGUGGUAUUGGUGGACUAUUGGAUCAUGUUGGAUAUUACUAGCUGGAUCCUAGGUUGGAGAUAACUUGAGCACUUGGAUUUGUGAUAUUUUGACCUAAGCUUAGUAGCUUCUAUGUGCCCCAUAUGGAUAUGAGCAUGGAGAUGAUACAAAUGGAUCGUAGUUGGUAGACUUUGAUGAUUUUGAUAGCCCUCCCUAAGAAUGGGAGGAUGAUUUGGAUUAAUUAGAACAGAUGGAAAUUUAUGUGGUAUGUGUGCCUUGUUGGAGCAGCUGAUCGCGUUUUUAUUAUGUGUUUGUGCUCAUUUAGAUGCAGUAGUAGCAGUAGGAUAGUACUUAUGCAAAGAUGAAUCCAAGGGCGAAGGUUUGGACUUGCUAAUUUCAAUCAUUACAGUUCAUUAGUUUUUUUUCACAAAUCUUAUUGGAUGAUGUUUUGUUGUUGACUGAAGUUUUUUGGUCCCUCUGAAUCUUCGGAUGAUCGCAAAUUCUUGACCCCUCUUGAUUUAACUUUUUCGCUUGCUCAGUACAGUAAUUUAGUCUCCAAAGAUUCUGAUUUGGAUUAUUAUUAUUAUUGGUCGUUUCCCUAAAAUAUGGGAUUAUAUGGUUAGGGGCAGGGGUGACUUAUCUUCUUGAUGAUCUGUGUUUGGAUGAUCAUUAUUUUCUCUAGUUUAAUUUCCUCCUCUCCACAUGGGGGUUAUGCGGCUUAGCGGGGGCACCUAUCGUCUCGGUGAUCUAUGUUUGGAGAUCAUUACUCUUUCCAUUUAAUCUCCUCCUCUCCACUGUUUAAUUUAUAGUCCUCGACAAUUCUGAUUCGGAUUUGUUGGUGGUUCUCCAGAAGUUGGAAUUAUACGGCCUUGCAGGUGGUCCUAUUUUGCUUCUGCAGUUCUCAGCUUUGGUCCUAUCACCGAGACGAUAGGUGCCCCCGCUAAGCCGCAUAAUCCCCAGUUUCUGGAAAACCACCAAUAAAUGCAAAUUAUAAUUGUGAGAUUAAAGAUGAGUUAAGCUCACAUGGAACGUAUGCCCUGUUGCAGCCUCGCAGGUACCCACAGUUGUCUCUCUCUCUUUUGAUUUGAUCCCCACAGAUUCUCAGCUUUAUUUCUGUGGAUUCUGUUUUAUCUAUGCUUGCUAUGUGUUUGACAAAAAUCCAAGGAGGCUGAGGCGAAGAUUUUGUGCUUAGGUUUUUACUCAAGUAUUUCAUCUUUUUCUGAAAUUUAGCUCCAAUGAACUGAAUUGUUUUUGGGCAUCCCUUUUUCCUCUGCAGGUCAUUAUCAUCUCAUCUCACCACACUCAUGCCACAUAACCUGGCAAGCUCAUUCCUUACUCAUUCUAUGUGCCAGUUUUGUAGCUUUAUUACUGAACUGAGAGAUGAUGUUUGCGCAGUUAGAUGCUGCUUGCUCUAUUUUGACUAUGUUGGCUGCAAUAAUCAAUCUAUUUGAUAUGGGCCCUAAAGCUCUUUUGUUGAUCUUUGGUUACAAAUCCUGGAGCUGUUCUUGAUGUAUUGAGACAUUUGUUAGAACCCAUUAUCACCUUUUUUGGCUGUGGUUCAUCUUUGCCAUACGAUGUGUUAGUAAGCUGACUGAGAAUGUUAGAUAAUCUUAUAUGGAUUUCGAUCUUGCAGCUGCAGCCGCGCGCUGUAUGUGGCGGGGGGUUACGGUUACUUCUGUGCAGUAAUACCAUUUUGGAGUGUCCCGUGUUUGCAACUAUCCUUAUGUGCAGCCCCUGCAACAAGGCAUCAGAGAAAAUUAAAGGGACAAACAAAUUUUGCGUCUGAUGUGUUGUUCAGACGUUCAGGAGAAGUGGAGAAGAGGGUUCCUCGAGGCUCCAUCCAUGAAUGGUGUGGGUCCAAUGCCUUAGGGUGGCAUGCGGUAAUGUUGGGGACCAGCGAGGAAGAUGGCUGGUAUACAUUCUUUGAAAUAAAGCUGAAUUCUUUCCAACAAUCAGUGGCACAAAGAGAUGAUUUAUAUGUCAUCCUGCAUUCUUUAACGAUUCCGGACAUAGGAACGAUGAGCUGUAUCCACGGCUCCUCUUCCAAACCAAUAUCGCAAUGGAUCUAUCUUCAGCGCUUUUAUUCAAUUUCCGAGGCACUCCCCUUUGUUCAGGGUGAGGAACCUAGGAAGCAGGCCAGCGCUGUAGCAUACAUCAAAUGCAGCUUGGAGACACAUCAGAAUGCCAUGGUUGUCUUCGGCACUGCCUUCAAAGGGGUCCUUCAGCCUCCAAGGAGAAGGGAACUGAUGGCUGCCAGGGAAACUAGGUGAAACUCUGGAUGCUCGAGACAGAUCAGAUGGUUAAUUUUUUUAUGGUGGCCACGGCUACUUCCAGUGUCUGCUAAAGAGCAGGGCCAGCAAUAGGCCUUUAGAAUACAUGCAAGCAAAUUAUCUCCAGGUGACUUAUUAGGAUGCAUAUGGUACUUUUCAGCCAUGGCAAAUGCACAGGUUUAGCUGCAUCUUGAUGAGAGGAUCGAUGAUUUAUUAUGGUAGACAUGGAACUAAGAUUUAGUAAAAAAAAAAUGAUGAUACGAUAGGUGACUUAUGAUGUGCUAUUUUAGAUAACAAUACUAAGCUUUUAUUCCAUAGAUGACAUUUGGUUGUUCUGCAUUUUUUUUCUUUUGCAAAGAUAGAUGUUAUAAGAGACAAACAUCAUGUACAGGUUAACUUUUUGUGUGCCUAUUAGCAUGCCUUGCUGCCAACUGGAAGUAGUCUAUAUGAUGCUCAUAAAUAGAGCUUCCCGGUGGGAAGGAUGAGGCACACUCAUUGAUACUUUGGUUUUAUAUCCAUUUGUGAUACGGUUUUUCUCUUCUAAGCAUAUGAACUUUAGCAAAUUAGACUGUGCAAUCAAGUCUCCUAAGUGAACAGUUACCAUAUUAUCAAGUUUGAGAGCAUAUAAGAUAAGAGCAUGUCAUGCUACGUGAAAAUCUGUUUGAAGAUCUAAUUUCGUAUUUUUCUAUUUUGUCGGUUAGAAAACCAGUUUCCUGAGUUGUUAGUCUGAGUAUUCAAAUUGAUCCGCAGAGUUCAGGGCUUCUGGAUGGAAGAGUUUUCUACAACCUCAAAAUCUUAGUACUCUCUACCUAGACUUCAUAAUUAUGCCUCACUUCUUCUGAAGAUUUUUUGAAGUAUGCCUUUUAUUUGGGUUGUUCGUGCAUUUGCAGUGUUGGAGGUGUUAGUACAAGAUUGUAGAGUUGGAAAGUAUAGCAAAACGUCAGUUGGUGCAGGGACUUGGUGAAGCCAUCAGGCUCGACUGUGUCUGCUUCCCUGAUGGUUUUGACUUCUGAUUAGUGAUUUUGAUGCAUAUUACUUGAUGAUUUGGUCUUUGUGGCAGCUUUCAGUUUGAACUGGCAUUCAGUGGCUUCAUCCUCUUUGGUGCAACUUGGAGUUAGUGUGUACAUCUGAAUCUUUUGAUUUUCCUGAAGCAUAUUACUUGGUUUAUGGUGUCUGCUAACUUGCAUGCAAUUUGAUGGAAUCUGAUCUCAGUUUUGCUCCCAGUGAAUAUACAAAAGGCUAGAAGUAAAUGGUGGAAGAUCCUUUGGUCUCAAACGAGGUUCCUACUUUCGUACUCAAAGUUUGUACAGUAGGUAAUCAAAUUUUGGCCUUUAGCUUGCAAAUUUAUCACCUUACAGGAGAAGUAAAGGUUGCAUGUACAUGAGCUCUAAUUAUCUCCAUAUAUACUUGAAUUGCUUUGGGUUCAUGCUUGGAUUUGUCGGACUACCAUUCUACAUACUAUUCUCGAUGAUUGCACUUGGUUUGUUAAUUUUCCUGGUGAGUUCUUCAGCCUCAUCUUAUGCCACAAAAAUUAGUUUUUGGCAUGCGCAGACUUUGAAAUUUGGUGAUAAAGAAAGAUCACGUGCUGGCUCUCUUAUUUAUUACUGUGUUGACACUUAACAGUAGUGGGCUCCUGACUUUGUAGUUGGAUAGUGUUGAUGGCUCGAUAUGCCGAGAGAGGUUAGGAAUUGUUGCUAUGAACUAAAAUAAUGCAGAAUUGAAGGUUCUGAACUUGAAACUUGAACAAACAGUUUGCCUUGAAUACUCUACCUUUCUCAUGUCUUCAAUUUAGUGUCAUCUUCACUAAAUAUGAUUCUGGUUUGUUGGUUGUGGACUUGAAUUUUCAGAAGUGAACGUUCUUCACAUUGGUGCUUCUUCAGUGGGAUCUGGAUCAGGGAAUCUUCAAUUGCAUCUGCUUGGUUGCUGGGGAACUUACUAGUUUUAAUUUGAUUGACAACUAGCAAAACAAUCAGGCUAAUUUGAUGAUUAAUUCCUGCUGAUUGUACACUUUCAACUCAAGUUACAUUGCAACAUAUGCCUGUUUGUUCGUGCUUCACCCAUCCUGAAUUUUAAGAUGCUUUGUCAUGCAUCUUAUGGUCUUCUGGCUGUUCAUUGGCUAAUUUGAUCAGUGUUAACUGUGGAAUCUGGAUUACGGAGUCUUCAGCUACAUAGUUUGAUGGGGAACUUCAUAGUUUUAAUUUAGUUUACAGCUAAAACUACUCUCGUUUGAUAAUACCAUCCGAAAUGACAUGCUGGAUGUAGAUUUGUU